GACGAACCGUGCGAACGUUAUUCGGAAUCACUGGGCUUAAAGCGCGUGUAGGCGGGCCGCCGCGUCGGCUGCUGAAAUCCCCCGGCUCAACCGGGGAACGGGCACCGAUACGGGCGGCCUCGAGGGGGUAGGGGGGACUGGAACUUCCGGUGGAGCGGUGAAAUGCGUUGAGAUCGGAAGGAACGCCCGUGGCGAAAGCGAGUCCCUGGACCCUUUCUGACGCUGAGACGCGAAAGCCAGGGGAGCGAACGGG
rnacentral:rRNA from 1 species